CCCUAAAUACCUGCAAAUCCCUAAAUUAUUUGAGCAGAUCUGCCCGCGGUGGAAGGCGGCGUAGGAGGAGGCGCGAAGCGGCGGUGGCGUUGGAGUCGGUGAAGACGGAAGCGCGAGGCGGCGGAGACCCGAUGCGGAGCAGGAGGUGUUGGAGGCGGCGCGAGUUGCGUUGGCGGCGGAGACGCGAGGCGGAGCAGGAGGUGUUGGAGGCGGCGCGAGUUGCGUUGGCGGCGGAGACGCGAGGCGGAGCAGGAGGUGUUGGAGUCCGGCGCAGUGGUGGUAGAGGCGGUGAAGGUGGAGAGGUGGGAAGCGGUGGAAGAGGAUGGCGGUGGAGGAGAUUGAGAGAGAAAAUAGAGAGAGGCAGUGGGGUUGAGACGAGAGAGAGAGAGGAGAGAGAGAGAGAGAAAAGCAAGGUGGGUAUAAAGACUUAAUUAAAUGCUUAAUUGAGUCCUAAUUAUUGCCAAAAAAGGAAAGGGGACUUGUUACAUGGGACGGCUCAAAAAGGAAUACGG
rnacentral:lncRNA from 1 species